rnacentral:rRNA from 1 species
GACAGAGGGUGCAAACGUUGUUCGGAAUUACUGGGCGUAAAGCGCGUGUAGGCGGUCUAGCAAGUCGGAUGUGAAAGCCCUUGGCUCAACUGAGGAAGUGCAUUCGAAACUGCAAGACUUGAGUCCCGGAGAGGAUGGUGGAAUUCUCGGUGUAGAGGUGAAAUUCGUAGAUAUCGAGAGGAACACCGGUGGCGAAGGCGGCCAUCUGGACGGUGACUGACGCUGAGACGCGAAAGCAUGGGGAGCAAACAGG